UAAGGAGAAUGAUGACGAGGACGAUGGUUCUGACAGAAAUGAUGAAGCAGAAAGGGUAGAAGGUGAUGCUUCUAAAGAUGCUUCUGUUCCAGCAAACUUCGCUGGUCAGGCCUCCAAUCCUCUUUUUCAAUCUCAGGUAAAUGACAUCGAGGCUGGUGCUGGUGCAGGAACUUGCGAAGUUGGUGAUGGUAUUCCCGAGAUAGAGGUUACUGGAGGUGUUCCUAUUCGGCAACAAUCCUCGUUUCUCUGCCUUUGUUCUUGUAGGUCUAUAUUAUUUCGCUUCUCCUGAUGACUUUUAUUUGAACUGGGCGCUCCCAAGUUUGGAGGGCAGAAUAUUUUGGAUAUUCCUUUUAAUAUAUUUCGCAUUUUCUUGGGUAUAAUUAUAAUUUGAUACAUGCUUGCCAAUUUGAUACAUGUGGUGGAGCCUUUAUUGAUUUGGAAAAGACUAUUUCAGAAAGAUGGCAAGACUCUUCUAUUUGUUUUGGAGCUCCAGCUCUUGCAAGCUGUUGUGACUUCGUCUUUUAUGGAAUUCGAAAGAAUUCUUAUUUAAGUGGAAUUCAUGGGAUUGCUGUAUAUGGUUUAAUUUUACUUCUGCAACUGGCAAGUUGAAAGUGGGAAUCUUAUUGCAUACGGUCUAAUACCAGAAUGUAUUGGAAGCGUUACAAUUUUAGUUACCAGAAAUCUAAUAAGUCUUUUAUGGGUAACAUCCUCACAGAAAUUUGCACAUUGCUUCUGAAGGACCCACACACCAAGUGUUUGUGGUUUCAUUGGAUGAUCUUUCAGGCGAUGAGGAUCAAGCGUGUAAGAAGUUCAGACUUAGAGUUGAGGAUGUUCAAAGAAAGAAUGUUCUUACCAAUUUCUGGGCAAGGAAUGGAUUUUACCACAGACAAGUUGAGACGUCUUGAAAGAAAGUGACAGACAUUGAUUAAAACCCAUAUUGAUGUCAAGAAAACAUACAACUUCACCUUGAGGUCAUUCUGCAUCAGAUUCACCAAGAAGCGAGACAAACAGGUCAGGAGAACCUGUUAUGCUCAAUCUAGCCAGAUUUGAGAGAUGGUUGAAAACAUGGUAAGCCAGGCCUCUUCAUGUGAUCUUACAGAAUUGGUGGCAAAAUUUAUCCCUGCGAUGAUUGGAAAAGAUAUUAUGAAGGCUACAUCAAGCAUUUACCCAUUGCAGAAUGUGUUCAUUUGGAAGGUGGGUGAUCAUAAGUUUGAUAAAAUUAUAGAUGCAGGUGCUAUGUAUGCGAUAAGGAAAGAGUACUUGGAGAUGUUGCAAGAGGUGACAUGACUAAGUGGCCAAAAUUUAUGUAAAUCCUGUAGGAGAGCUAACAUAUUAGAGUGGCAAGAUUAGGUGACAUUAUUAGUUGAUAGAAUUCAGUUUUAGUGUUUAAUAUGCAAUUCUAUGUUGAUAGUAAUAUAAUUUAUCUUUCAAUUUGUAUUCAGAGAUUAUAUGUUUUGAAUGUUAUUUUGGUAUUAAUAUAAAGUUAAAUUCAUCUUUA